rnacentral:rRNA from 1 species
GUCGAGCGGACAGAUGGGAGCUUGCUCCCUGAUGUUAGCGGCGGACGGGUGAGUAACACGUGGGUAACCUGCCUGUAAGACUGGGAUAACUCCGGGAAACCGGGGCUAAUACCGGAUGCUUGUUUGAACCGCAUGGUUCAAACAUAAAAGGUGGCUUCGGCUACCACUUACAGAUGGACCCGCGGCGCAUUAGCUAGUUGGUGAGGUAACGGCUCACCAAGGCAACGAUGCGUAGCCGACCUGAGAGGGUGAUCGGCCACACUGGGACUGAGACACGGCCCAGACUCCUACGGGAGGCAGCAGUAGGGAAUCUUCCGCAAUGGACGAAAGUCUGACGGAGCAACGCCGCGUGAGUGAUGAAGGUUUUCGGAUCGUAAAGCUCUGUUGUUAGGGAAGAACAAGUACCGUUCGAAUAGGGCGGCACCUUGACAGUACCUAACCAGAUAGCCACGGCUAACUACGUGCCAGCAGCCGCGGUAAUACGUAGGUGGCAAGCGUUGUCCGGAAUUAUUGGGCGUAAAG